rnacentral:rRNA from 1 species
CCUACGGGUGGCAGCAGUGGGGAAUAUUGCACAAUGGGGGAAACCCUGAUGCAGCAACGCCGCGUGAGUGAGGAAGUAUUUCGGUAUGUAAAGCUCUAUCAGCAGGGAAGAGAAAAGAAGGUACCUGAAAAAGAAGCACCGGCUAACUAUGGGCCAGCAGCCGCGGUAAUACGGAGGGGGCAAGCGUUAUACGCAUUUAUUGGGUGUAAAGGGAGCGUAGACGGGAAGGCAAGUCAGAAGUGAAAACCGAGGGCUCAACCACGGGACUGCUUUUGAAACUGUCAGACUAGAGUACGGGAGGGGUAAGAGGAAUUCCUGGUGUAGCGGUGAAAUGCGUAGAUAUUAGGAGGAACACCAGUGGCGAAGGCGUCUUACUGGACCGCAACUGACGUUGAGGCUCGAAAGCGUGGGGAGCAAACAGGAUUAGAUACCCCAGUAGUC